rnacentral:tRNA from 1 species
GGCUUCAUAGCUCAGUUGGUAGAGCAGGAGACUGAAAAUCUCCGUGUCAGUGGUUCGAUUCCACUUGAAGCCACCA